rnacentral:rRNA from 1 species
UACAGAGGUCUCAAGCGUUGUUCGGAUUCAUUGGGCGUAAAGGGUGCGUAGGUGGCGCUGUAAGUCAGGUGUGAAAUUUCGGAGCUUAACUCCGAAACUGCAUUUGAUACUGCGGUGCUUGAGGACUGGAGAGGAGACUGGAAUUUACGGCGUAGCAGUGAAAUGCGUAGAGAUCGUAAGGAAGACCAGUGGCGAAGGCGGGUCUCUGGACAGUUCCUGACACUGAGGCACGAAGGCCAGGGGAGCAAACGGG